rnacentral:lncRNA from 1 species
AGACCUCCCUGGGCAGGGCGGAGCGUGACCGGAAGGAAUGUCUCUCAGCACCCUCUGUUGGCCCACAACCUCCUAUAACUCCAGUUUUAGGAGCGCCAAUACCCUGUGAUAGUUUGUAUAUGGUUGGCCCAGUGUACUCCUAUUAAGAAAAUACCUCUGUGAUGGUUUGUAUAUCCUUGGACCAGGGAGUGGCACAAUCUGGAGGUGUGACCUAAUGGGUGUGUCAUUGUAGGUGUGGGUAUAAGAUCCUCACCCUAGUUGCUUGGAAGUCAGUCUUCCACUAGCAGCCUUUGGAUGAAGACAUAGAAAUCUCAGCUCCUCCUGCGCCAUGCCUGCCUGGAUACUACCAUGCUCCCACCUUGAUGAUAAUGGACUGAACCUCUGAACCUGUAAGCCAGCCCCAAUUAAAUGUUGUUUUUUAUAAGACUUGUCUUGGUCAUGGUGUCUGUUCACAGCAGUAAAACCCUGACUAAUACAGAAGUUGGUACCAGAAGUGGGGUAUUGCUGUGAUAGGCCUGACCAUGCUUUUAUUUGAAAGAAUGUGGAUUUUGGGACUUUGGAUUUGGAAAGCAGUAGAAUGCUUUAAAUGAGGCUUAAUGGGUCAUCCUAGUAGGAAUAUGAAAGAUUUUGUUGCUGGGAGUGAUUUGAACUGUGUUGACCUGGCCCAAGAGAUUUCAAAGGAGAAGAUUUUCAGAAUGUGGCAUUAAGACUGGUUUUGUGGUAUUUUGGUGAAGAAUGUGGCUACUUUUUGCCCUUGUCUGAAAAGUUUGCCUGAGGCUAUUGGUAAGCCUAGUUGGAGUGGAACACCCCAGUGUAUUGGAGAUGUCAGUACCAUGGGAUGAUUACCAAGAACAGCAGCCAUAGUGGAGUGGAUCAACCUGAGCUUAGAAUGCUACAGAGGGCAGAGCUGGAAAAGUGAUGCCAGCCC